CCUACGGGAGGCAGCAGUGAGGAAUUUUGCACAAUGAGCGAAAGCCUGAUGCAGCAACGCCGCGUGGAUGAUGAAAGUCUUCGGGUCGUAAAAUCCUGUCAGGUGGGAAGAAAUCGGGGAGGUUAAUACCCUCUUCGUCUGACUGUACCACCAGAGGAAGCCCCGGCUAACUCCGUGCCAGCAGCCGCGGUAAU
rnacentral:rRNA from 1 species